rnacentral:rRNA from 1 species
GCAGGCUGCAACUCGCCUGCAUGAAGUUGGAAUUGCUAGUAAUCGCGAAUCAGAAUGUCGCGGUGAAUACGUUCCCGGGCCUUGUACACACCGCCCGUCACACCAUGAGAGUCGAUAACACCCGAAGCCUGUGAGCUAACCGCAAGGGGGCAGCAGUCGAAGGUAGAAUCAAUGAUUGGGGUGAAGUCGUAACAAGGUAAC